rnacentral:pre_miRNA from 1 species
AUUCUACUCCCUCCAUUGCACAAUACAUGCCUUCUAUUUGUAAAAAUAUAUAUGUAUCUAGACAUGUUUUAGUAUAUAGGUACAUCCAUUUUUGGACAAAUGGAAGUCAAGUAUUUUGGAACGGAUGGAGUACACA